GGUCAGGUGCCAAGGGGAUGCUUUGGUUCUAGCAGACAGUGACAAAGCAGUGAUGAGGGACCUGCUGACUGUGGGACUCUUGGAGUUGAUGAACUGUGGAGCUUUCUUUAAAGGAGGAUGGCCUGAGACCUGUGGCCCCUGAAAGCUAAGUUGAGGGAUGGGUGCUGGGGGGGACAAAGUUGGGAAUUGCAGGGAGGGGUUUUAAAGUCAAGAGCUGGGGAGAGGGCUGUCUGGGAACUGUCCCUUUGGGCAGGUAAAGGCAGUGGGUUACUCUUCAGCGUGAUGUCAGCGUGUGCCAGGCAGGGCAGCUCCAGCCUGCGUGUGUCAUGGUGUAGUUUGUGUGGUCUGUUGUCUUUUGUGUCUCAAACCCUCCUUGGGUCCCAGUCUCCUCUUUGUGCUCCAGGAGCACAGCACUCGCCUUGCAGCCCAUCCUUAGGUCUUGAGCAUCAUCUGUGCUCACCAUCGUAGUGCCCGUGGGGCGCUGCUUUUCUUGCCUGAACUCAAAAGCCCCGCUGGGCCUCGCGACUCGGGUGUCUCCUCUUGAUCCUCUUUUUGCGCCGGUGUUGCGGUCGGUGUCGUCAGCCCCGCUCUGGAGGCUUCUCUUUCACAGGGAGAAUCUCUCUUUUCUGGGCAUUCUUCCCUGUGUCCUUGCAUUCUUGGGUCUUGCCAAGGCUUCUCGUGCAUCCGUCUGCUUCAGUUCUGACUGUAGCUUCUUGUCAUGGUUUGCAAUGUUUGACCUUUCUCUGGGGCUGCCUUACAGGCUCCUUACUGCUGAAAUCACGAGUGAAUUGAGUAUAGGAAUAUUGGGACUAAUGUGUUAAUUAAAGGGAUAUCAGUUCAAAUUGCAUGCCUGUUAAAGACUUGUGCAAACUGACCACUGCUUGACCUAAGCGACUUGACUUUGGACUGGACUUGUGACUUGACUUAGCCUGAGUAUCUGCAGUGAUGAGGCCUUAGGCUGCCAUUCUAAUUAAUCUUCAGCUGAACUCCUGUGAUGAGCCUUAGUUAGACCUUGACUCUACCAGCUGUAAUAAUAUGGAAACAAGAUGUGGGCAAGGUAAUUACUCAAGACGAUCUUCUGAACUGCGAAGAUGCAUUGACUGAAAGUUAAGUGGGAACAACUGGACAAAAUCAGAAUGUGGAAGAUUUUUCCAGCUGAGAAACAAGUGGAAGAGAACAAGAUUGGAAGCACCCAGCUUGAGCUGCAGUAAACUGGUUCUGUGGCAGAACUGAGGGUCUGAGCUUCUCUCUCAGGUUGGAGGUGAAGACUGGAUCCAGCUGCACCUAGGCUCUGCCCUGAGAAGAAGCUGAGAAACCAAAGAGGUCCUGUCUGAAGCUCACAACUCAAAAGGAGGGACUUUUGGGACUCCUCACCUGGUGGCAUCUGCAUUGGAGGAGGAGUUUUUUUGUUGCUGAGAGUUUCCUCUUGUGCUUGUGUCACAUCCUUUGUGUUUGUGUGUUGUGUCUCUGUGCUGUUGGGUUGGAGCUGCUCUCUCUGGAGGCUGUAGCAGCUGUGGGGUUGGGAGAAGAACAGCAACGAGAGCCUGUGGUUUGUGUUGCUGUGCUGUCUGUGCCUGUUGGGGUGCAGAUGGAGCAUUUGAAGUGAAGUAGCAGCCCUCAGCAGGGGAGGGUGGUCAUUUUCCUAGUGUUUUUGAGAGGGGGUGGCUGGAGCCACCUGGGAGAGGCUGCUGGAGCCAUAGCCAAGCAGGUUGGGUGCCCAGGUUCUUAAGGCCUGAAUGUGUGGGGCGUAAUGUUAACUUGUUUUUUAGCUUCCCUGUAGGUAGUUAGGAUCUAGAAGAUGUUCCUAAAUGGGAAUCUCUGGAAUUGCAUCCAGCUGAUUGCUUGUUACUGCUUUUUCAGAUGCAGGGAGAGGAGCCACGCAGCAGAGGGUGAUGGAGGAGAGGAGCAGAGCGCGGUGAGGAGCUGGGUCGGUGCGUAUUGAAGAGUCUGGGUGAGUUGUCCCCUGGGUUGUGAGGGAAGGUGUGAGUGGUGCCUCUAUCGACUGGCUCAUGGUUUGGGUUUGUUUUGUAGGUGCAAAGCACCGAGGGAAGCGGGAGAUCUGCACUGGAGGUGACUCGAGCAAGGCAGCACAGAGGGCUGGACGUGGCAACCCAUAACCAUCAGAGGCUGGACAGGUGAGCCACGAAGUUUUGCAGCCUUGGAGCAGUGGAGCAGCAUGCCAACGGGCCAUCUGUGGAGAUGACACAGGCAUCAGCCAGAUGCCGCAAGCAAGGAUGGCCUCAGCAUCCGAUUCUGGAACCAGAAGAUUGCUACGAGGAGCCUGGCGAUGGCAGGAACAUCCCGGCGAGGAUGGCUUGUCGAGGAGGAUGGCUGCAGAGCCCUGGCCAUCUGAAAGCUAA